rnacentral:rRNA from 1 species
AUUCCAGCUCCAAUAGCGUAUAUUAAAGUUGUUGCAGUUAAAAAGCUCGUAGUUGGAUUUCUGGUAGGAGCGACCGUGCCGAACUUGAUUGUUCGUGUAUUGUGUUGUCUUCAGCCAUCCUCGUGGAGAACUUUUCUAACAUUAACUUGUUGGGAUUGGGACCCGCGUCGUUUACUGUGAAAAAAUUAGAGUGUUUAAAGCAGGCAUUAGCUUGAAUACAUUAGCAUGGAAUAAUAAGAUAGGACUUUGGUACUAUUUUGUUGGUUUGCAUACCAAAUUAAUGAUCAACAGGAACAGUUUGAGGACAUUCGUAUGAACAUGUCAGAGGUGAAGUUCUUGGAUUUUGAUCAGACGAACUACUGCGAAAGCAUUUAUCAAGGAUGUUUUCAUUG